GCCAGGCAUGGUGGGGCACGCCUGUAAUCCCAGCAACUCAGGAGGCUGAGACAGGAAGAUUGCAAGUUCAAGGCCAGUCUCAGCAGUUUCACAAGGCCCCUAAGGAACUUAGUGAGACCCUGUUUCAA
rnacentral:sRNA from 1 species